rnacentral:rRNA from 1 species
GAGUCGGACCUGCCCAGUGAAUAAAUUUUUAACGGCCGCGGUACUCUGACCGUGCAAAGGUAGCAUAAUCAUUUGCCCUAUAAUUGAGGGCUGGUAUGAAUGGUUUGACGUGAACAAAACUGUCUCUAUAUAAUUUUUUAGAAUUUGAUUUUUAGGUGAGGAAACCUAAAUGUCAUUGAAAGACAAGAAGACCCUAUUGAGCUUUAAAAUAACAAGUUAAAAAUAUUAUAUAACACUAAAUAUUAAUUAGCUUUAAAUUUUGGUUGGGGCGACUAUGGAACAAUUAAAACUUCUUUGUUAUUUUAAAACCUACAAGUCUUGAUCCAAGAAUUUUGAUCAACGGAAUUAGUUACCAUAGGGAUAACAGCAUAAUUCUCUUUGAGAGUUCAUAUCGAAAAGAGAGUUUGUGACCUCGAUGUUGGACUAGAAUAUCCUAGAGAUGUAGCAGUCUCUAAGGGUUNGUC